UUCAUGAUUUACUAACCGUACUUGUCGAUCGUAUUGUUAUGGGUUCCACUUUAUUUUCCUAUUUAGUUUAUGAUUAACAUGAAAUUUGUUUUUGGCUUUCGUGUGAUAGUAUUACAGAAACAUUGUUAGAGUAUUCUUGAUUAAAAUUUUAGAAUAAUCCAAGUUAGCCUGUACUGCAGCGAAACACCACCAACUUCGUGUUCGACAAUAGUUCACUCUACUUCAGAGACACUACAAGAGCUUUUUUUGGCUUUUUGGGACCAAUCACUAAUCAUAAGCCUUUACCUACUUAAAUUAACUCGACGAAAAUAUUCUCUAGGCUCAUCAUGAACACCUUCCCUUUUCAUAGUCGGGUACAUGAUAGCGGAAGCAUUACCGGUGAUCUGGUGAUCUGCUUCAUGUUUAGUGCCUUAGUGGAUAUCUAAUUGUAUAAAAUAUGAAAGAAAAAAAUUGGAAACAAAUUUUGUUUGCCUUUGGUUUGGCCUAGUUUCGGCGCUGGCCUAGUAGGCAUGUUGUUUUCUGUAGAAUUCUAGAAUUUUAAAAUAAGUGCGAGCUUCGAUUUUUAUUAGGUUUUUGCUUAUUCUCUAGAUGACUAGAUGAAAACUGAAUUCAUAUGUAUCUAGCUGAUGUCUUCUUAAGAGGAAGAGUUGUAAUUUUUAAAAAUACGCUAUUAUAAUCUGUAAAUAUUUAAUGUUCAUACGUUUUCAACGUCUGAGUAGAUUCAUCGAUUCACAUCUUCGCUGCCUUGAAUUUAGAUUUGUUAAAUAAUUCCAUGUCUGAUCAUUUUCACCGCACAAUCUUUUAUUCGAUUUUGUUAAUUAGAUGUGUGUUUUUAUUUUUGUCCCAACUACAUCUGUCUGAGUUGAAGGCUGGUCGGUGUAGGGAGACAGUUUUCACAGGCUUUGAUCGUCUUAGGGAAGCAAGGAAUGUGAAACAAGGUUCAGAUGAAGAGCUUAUUGGGAUCGAUUUGGUUGUGGUUGAUGAGAAGGUAUCUUUUCCUCCAGAGAAUCUGUAAGUUAAACUGUUUAAGAAAAUUUUGUUCGCUAUAGUUUGAUCGACUUUUACGUAAAGUAGACGAGGCUCAUCCAGAGAUCUAUUAGAGUCCACCGGUUUACCUUCCAACACCUCCACAAAGAUAGCGGGAUUUUAUGAACUGAGUUCAUUCUCAUUCGACCUGACCAGGAGUAAUCAGUUCUUUAAACUGCCCACAUCAGCUGUACAACUCCAUUCGUGUUUGUUAGUGUUUUCAAUGGGAAAAGUGUGGUGGAGAGCUUUGCUUCCUAUGCAAGUAUCAGAAGCAGCAGCUCAAAUCUGGACCAAGUCAAACCCAGAAAAUAUUGUGUUCAAGCUGGGGGUUUACUAAACGAAUUUCAGAUCACGUUCAAGAUGUAUAUGGAAAGAUGUUACUGCAACGAAGCCACGGAAAGUGAAAUCUCAUGGAGAACAUAUUUCAGGCUUACCCUAUUGCCAAAUAAUUUUUGCUUCUGUGUUACUUGCUGCAUAUAACCGAUCGUGUAGUUUGAAAAAAUAGUUAAAAGGGUGGUCUUUGAAUCCCCAAAUAGCUUGAGUUUACCAAAGUGGGAAAACCAAGCUCCAACGCUUUUUUAAUCCUUGAAUCAUCUUCUAAUUCAUUUUUUAUUUUCUGUUCAA